CCACCAAAGUCCACUUUGGUGAACCAGUCAUUUUUAUUGGUGUCACAUACAGGAGUGUGGAUGCGGGGUUACUUAUUGUAACAGAAAUGACUCAAAGACAGCUGAGUCACCAAGGUCAAACCCAGCAUGGGUGACAGCUCACAAAAACUGGAAAACCUGGAACACACUGCACAGCCUGCAGGCAGAUGAACAAGUUGGGGAGUGUCCUUUCCAACUGACUCUGGUCUAAUCCUCUUCCAGAACUCAUUCAAAUAUUGCCAACUAGAACCUGUUAUAUGCUUAAGGAUCCCACAAUACAUUUGGUUUUCAUGUCUCCUUAGUUUUCUGCAAUAUGAGGUGCUCCUGGCUAGCAGCCGACCCACUGCAGCUGAGCUGCUCAGAACCAUCCACCCAGCUUGGAGACAGUUUCUAGCUGCCUAGACUGGAGGUAGGCCUCGGCUUUCAGCAGAGGCUUCCCCUGGCCGCUGCUGCAGGAAAGCCGCAUCUGUUUCAGUGGUUGUGGCAACAAGACCGUAUACUCUCUAAGAUAAGCACAGCAGCUUUUGUGACCUCUCUCCACCGCUGACCGACUGCUGCCAAACAAGUGGACUAACUGAACACCUGUGCCACCCACUGGUCAAAGAUAGUUACUGCAUCUAGAGUAGAAAUCAGCCAAUGAAGACCUGCCUGACAGCAAUCCCUGGACUCCCUGGAAAAAAAUGGGCUACACAUCCUCGAGUGCACUGGAUCCAACUUGCUCCAUUUUAACUGACACUCUGGCCAGAGGUUCGGGUACUGACUUCAAUCAAGUUGAUGAUUUCAAGUGAGAUCUUCAAUCAAGAGAAUCCCAUCUAGCAUGGACUGGAUACAAUCCAUUCAAGACUUUCACUAUACUAACAUUUUCUUCCUACAGGACCCCACAAGGCUAUCAUCGUCCUAUUUCAGCAGGAAGUAACUUGGAGGAUGCUACGACCCCUUUCCCCAUUGUUGUCACUUAGGACAGUGUAUAUACCUAUUUAGGGAUAGCUUCCUAUUGUUUAUGGUUGGGAUUGGAAGGAGGUGUUCAGGCUUGGACACCUCUUUCAGAUGACUUUAGGGUUUAGUUAAAAUAGAUAGUUAGGAUGUGACAUAAGCAGAUUGUUGUAUCUUCUUAUAUUUUACCUUUAUGAUGGUUAAUUUUGGAUACUUUACACUGUUAAGUUUUAAUCCUCUUUUAGACUAAAAGGGGAAUUGCAGGGGAAGCUGUAGCCACGCCUACUUAGGGGCUGGCUACAAGAGUGCCUGAC
rnacentral:lncRNA from 1 species